GCAUAUCAAUAAGCGGAGGAAAAGAAACUAACAAGGAUUCCCCUAGUAACUGCGAGUGAAGCGGGAAAAGCUCAAAUUUAAAAUCUGGCGACCUUUGGCCGUCCGAGUUGUAAUCUAGAGAAGUGUUAUCCGCGCUGGACCGUGUACAAGUCUCCUGGAAUGGAGCGUCAUAGAGGGUGAGAAUCCCGUCUUUGACACGGACUGCCAGGGCUUUGUGAUGCGCUCUCAAAGAGUCGAGUUGUUUGGGAAUGCAGCUCAAAAUGGGUGGUAAAUUCCAUCUAAAGCUAAAUAUUGGCGAGAGACCGAUAGCGAACAAGUACCGUGAGGGAAAGAUGAAAAGAACUUUGGAAAGAGAGUUAAACAGUACGUGAAAUUGCUGAAAGGGAAACGCUUGAAGUCAGUCGCGUUGUUUGGAAAUCAACCUUGCUUUUGCUGGGCGUACUUUCUAAAUGACGGGCCAGCAUCAAUUUUGACCGUUGGAUAAAGGUUGGAGGAAUGUGGCAUCUUCGGAUGUGUUAUAGCCUCCAGUCGCAUACAACGGUUGGGAUUGAGGAACUCAGCACGCCGCAAGGCCGGGUACUUGUACCACGUUCGUGCUUAGGAUGCUGGCAUAAUGGCUUUAAUCGACCCGUCUUGAAACACGGACCAAGGAGUCUAACAUGCCUGCGAGUAUUUGGGUGGAAAACCCGAGUGCGUAAUGAAAGUGAAAGUUGAGAUCCCUGUCGCGGGGAGCAUCGACGCCCGGACCAGACCUUUUGUGACGGAUCUGCGGUAAAGCAUGUAUGUUGGGACCCGAAAGAUGGUGAACUAUGCCUGAAUAGGGUGAAGCCAGAGGAAACUCUGGUGGAGGCUCGUAGCGAUUCUGACGUGCAAAUCGAUCGUCAAAUUUGGGUAUAGGGGCGAAAGACUAAUCGAACCAUCUAGUAGCUGGUUCCUGCGA
rnacentral:rRNA from 1 species